GGUAUUGGAGAGUUUGUUUUGUUUUGGGAAGAGGCAUGUGUGUAGCUCGAUGUAUUGUUUCUCUUUAUACUUAAGUAAGUAAUAUGUAAUAAAGCUUCUUUAAACUUUAAAGAGUAACAGGCUCACAGGAGGAAACAGAAUAGUAUCACGUUUUGCCCUUGUUCAUCAUAAUUAUCAGCAUUAUAAUAGAGAUGGGGGAUUGAAGACUUUUGUUAUUAAUAAAUUCUAUUUCUACUUAAAGUUAAAGGUCCUCUUCAUUUUCAGUUCCUUUAUGUUUCUCUAUGGAGAGUUCAGACUUUUAAAACCAGUAUAUUUACAAUGUUUUUACAAGAUAAAUACACUUCACCCUUGAACAACACAGGUUUGAAAUAUGCAAAUCCACUUCUAUGUAGAUUUUCUGCCACCUUGGCCACCCCCCUGAGACAUCAAGAACAACUCUUUCUCUUCCUCCCCUUCUCAGCUUAUUCAACCUGAAGAUGAUGAGGAUGAAAACCUUUAUGAUGAUCCUUCUCCACUUAAUGAAUAAUAAAUAUAUUUUCUCUUCUUCAUGA
rnacentral:lncRNA from 1 species